rnacentral:rRNA from 1 species
GUCUACAGCCAUGCUACCCUGAAUAAGCCUGAUCCCGUCUAAUCUUGGAAGCUAAGCAGGGUCGGACCUGGUUAGUACUUGGAUGGGAGACCACCUGGGAAGACCAGGUGCUGCAGGAG